GCGGAAGCCGCCGGGGCUGGCGGCCGGGCCGCGGCGCGGCGGGCGCGGGAGCCCGGCGCUGCGUGGGGAAGAGGUGCUGUUGGCCCCGCUCGCCCUGCUACGCAGCCUGGGCGGACGGACCGUUUCUGCAGGAUUCUGGCGAACCUGUACUGAGUGACAAGGCGGUCUCGCUCCUUGUGUAGCUAACUAGGUCACUGUCAGCACUUAAUUACUGUUUGUUUCAUUUUAGUGCAUGCCUUAUGAAUAAGCCGGCUAUUAGGCUGAUGCUUCAAGUUACACUAUCCAGCACCAAGGAAAUAACAGAUGGAAAAAUGGAUUACAUAAACACUGUUGUAAAUAUCUUUCAGCCUAUAUACCACAGAAUGUUGCACUGCUACUGA
rnacentral:lncRNA from 1 species